rnacentral:rRNA from 1 species
UACAGAGGGUGCGAGCGUUAAUCGGAAUUACUGGGCGUAAAGCGUGCGUAGACGGCUAUCUAAGUCGGGUGUGAAAGCCCCGGGCUCAACCUGGGAAUUGCAUUCGAGACUGAAUAGCUAGGGUGCGGCAGAGGGAAGCGGAAUUUCCGGUGUAGCGGUGAAAUGCGUAGAUAUCGGAAGGAACAUCAGUGGCGAAAGCGGCUUCCUGGACCAGCACCGACGUUCAGGCACGAAAGCGUGGGGAGCAAACAGG